rnacentral:rRNA from 1 species
UAGGGAAUCUUCCGCAAUGGACGCAAGUCUGACGGAGCAACGCCGCGUGAGUGAAGAAGGAUUUCGGUUCGUAAAACUCUGUUGUUAGAGAAGAACAGCGCAUAGAGUAACUGUUAUGCGUGUGACGGUAUCUAACCAGAAAGCCACGGCUAACUACGUGCCAGCAGCCGCGGUAAUACGUAGGUGGCAAGCGUUGUCCGGAUUUAUUGGCCGUAAAGCGAGCGCAGGCGGUCAAUUAAGUCUGAUGUGAAAGCCCCCGGCUCAACCGGGGGGGGUCAUUGGAAACUGGUUGACUUGAGUGCAGAAGAGGAGAGUGGAAUUCCAUGUGUAGCGGUGAAAUGCGUAGAUAUAUGGAGGAACACCAGUGGCGAAGGCGACUCUCUGGUCUGUAACUGACGCUGAGGCUCGAAAGCGUGGGUAGCAAACAGG